UACGGAGGGUGCAAACGUUGCUCGGAAUCAUUGGGCGUAAAGGGCGCGUAGGUGGCCCGGUCAGUCCGUGGUGAAAGCGCGGGGCUCAACCCCGCGUCGGCCAUGGAUACUGCUGGGCUGGAGCACUGUAGAGGCAGGCGGAAUUCCGGGUGUAGCGGUGGAAUGCGUAGAUAUCUGGAGGAACACCGGUGGCGAAGGCGGCAUCCUGGACCGACACUGACGCUGAGGCGCGAAAGCUAGGGUAGCAAACGGGG
rnacentral:rRNA from 1 species